rnacentral:rRNA from 1 species
UACGUAGGGUGCAAGCGUUGUCCGGAAUUAUUGGGCGUAAAGAGCUCGUAGGCGGCUUGUCGCGUCGGCUGUGAAAACCUGGGGCUCAACCCCGGGCCUGCAGCCGAUACGGGCAAGCUAGAAUUCGGUAGGGGAGACUGGAAUUCCUGGUGUAGCGGUGAAAUGCGCAGAUAUCAGGAGGAACACCGGUGGCGAAGGCGGGUCUCUGGGCCGAUAUUGACGCUGAGGCGCGAAAGCUAGGGGAGCAAACGGG